AUUGAACGCUGGCGGCAGGCCUAACACAUGCAAGUCGAGCGGAGCGGCGGACGGGUGAGUAAUGCCUAGGAAUCUGCCUGGUAGUGGUGGAGAACGUCCGGAAACGGGCGCUAAUACCGCUUACUCUCAGAUGAGCCUAGGUCGGAGUAGCUAUUUGGUGGGGGAAAGGCAUACCAAGGCGACGAUCCAGAACUGGUCUGAGAGGAUGAGCAGCCACACUGGAACUGAGACACGGUCCAGAAUCCUACGGGAGGCAGCAGUGGGGAAUAUUGGACAAGGGGCGAAAGCCUGAUGCAGCCAUGCCGCGUGUGUGAAGAAGGUCUUCGGGUUGUAAAGCACUUUAAGUGGGGAGGCGUUACCCACAGAAUAAGCACCGGCUAACUUCGUGCCAGCAGCCGCGGUAAUUC
rnacentral:rRNA from 1 species